rnacentral:rRNA from 1 species
UACAGAGGUCCCAAGCGUUAUUCGGAUUCACUGGGCGUAAAGGGUGCGCAGGCGGCCGUGUGUGUGAGGCGUGAAAGCCCGGGGCUCAACCCCGGAAUUGCACCUCAAACUACAUGGCUAGAGCAUUGGAGAGGGAAGCGGAAUUCACGGUGUAGCAGUGAAAUGCGUAGAUAUCGUGAGGAACACCAGAGGCGAAGGCGGCUUCCUGGACAAUUGCUGACGCUCAGGCACGAAAGCGUGGGGAGCAAAAGGG